rnacentral:tRNA from 1 species
AUAGCUCAGCUGGAAGAGCAGGCGGCUUUUAACCGUCAGGUCGUGGGUUCGAAUCCCACUAUCUCCA